AUUGAACGCUGGCGGCAGGCCUAACACAUGCAAGUCGAACGAGUGGCGGACGGGUGAGUAAUGUCUGGGAAACUGCCUGAUGGAGGGGGAUAACUACUGGAAACGGUAGCUAAUACCGCAUACCAUCGGAUGUGCCCAGAUGGGAUUAGCUAGUAGGUGGGGUAACGGCGCACCUAGGCGACGAUCCCUAGCUGGUCGGAGAGGUGGACCGGCCACACUGGAACUGAGACACGGUCCAGACGCCUACGGGAGGCAGCAGUGGGGAAUAUUGCACAAGGGGCGCAAGCCUGAUGCAGCCAGGCCGCGUGUAUGAAGAAGGCCUUCGGGUUGUAAAGUACUUUCAGCGGGGAGGCGUUACCCACAGAAGAAGCACCGGCUAACUCCGUGCCAGCAGCCGCGGUAAUUC
rnacentral:rRNA from 1 species